rnacentral:rRNA from 1 species
UACAGAGGGGGCAAGCGUUGUUCGGAAUUACUGGGCGUAAAGGGCGCGUAGGCGGCCUGUUAAGUCGAACGUGAAAUCCCCGGGCUCAACCCAGGAACUGCGUCCGAUACUGAUUGGCUUGAAUCCGGGAGAGGGAUGUGGAAUUCCAGGUGUAGCGGUGAAAUGCGUAGAUAUCUGGAGGAACACCAGUGGCGAAAGCGGCUCUCUGGGGGCAACCUGACGCUGAGGCGCGAAAGCGUGGGGAGCGAACCGG